rnacentral:rRNA from 1 species
AACGAACGCUGGCGGCGCGCCUAAUACAUGCAAGUCGAGCGAGAAGGUGUAGCAAUACACUUGUAAAGCGGCGAACGGGUGAGGAAUACAUGGGUAAUCUACCAUCGAGUGGGGAAUAACCAGCCGAAAGGUUGGCUAAUACCGCGUACGCCUCCGAAUCUUCGGGUUCGGAGGGAAAGCCGCACUGUGAGUGCGGCGCUCUUUGAUGAGCUCAUGUCCUAUCAGCUUGUUGGUAGGGUAACGGCCUACCAAGGCUUUGACGGGUAGCUGGUCUGAGAGGACGAUCAGCCACACUGGCACUGCGACACGGGCCAGACUCCUACGGGUGGCAGCAGUAAGGAAUAUUGCGCAAUGGGCGAAAGCCUGACGCAGCGACGCCGCGUGGGGGAUGAAGGUCUUCGGAUUGUAAACCCCUUUCGGGAGGGAGAUGGAGCGAGCAAUCGUUCGGACGGUACCUCCAGAAGCAGCCACGGCCAACUUCGUGCCAGCAGCCG